AUGGUUUCUGCGUCGCAAGCUAACGCAUUAAGCGCCCCGCCUGGGGAGUACGGUCGCAAGACUCAAACUCAAAGGAAUUGACGGGGGCCCGCACAAGCAGCGGAGCAUGCGGCUUAAUUCGAUGCAACGCGAAGAACCUUACCUAGACUUGACAUAUACGGAAAACAUGCAGAGAUGUAUGGUCCUAACGGGCCGUUUACAGGUGGUGCAUGGUUGUCGUCAGCCCGUGUCGUGAGAUGUUGGGUUAAGUCCCGCAACGAGCGCAACCCUCGUUCUAUGUUGCCAGCACGUAAUGGUGGGGACUCAUAGGAGACUGCCGGGGUCAACUCGGAGGAAGGUGGGGAUGACGUCAAAUCAUCAUGCCCCUUAUGUCUAGGGCUGCACGCAUGCUACAAUGGCUGGUACAAAGGGCUGCGAUACCGCAAGGUGGAGCGAAUCCCAAAAAGCCAGUCUCAGUUCGGAUUGGGGUCUGCAACUCGACCCCAUGAAGUUGGAGUUGCUAGUAAUCGCAGAUCAGCAACGCUGCGGUGAAUACGUUCCCGGGCCUUGUACACACCGCCCGUCACGUCACGAAAGUC
rnacentral:rRNA from 1 species